rnacentral:rRNA from 1 species
AAACCAACAGGGAUUGCCUUAGUAGCGGCGAGUGAACCGGCAAAAGCUCAGAUUUGAAAGCCUUUUUGGCAUUGUAUUCUGAAGCCUUGGUCCUGGGACCUGGUGCUUAAGUCUUCUGGAAAGGAGCGCCAUGGAGGGUGAUAGCCCCGUGAAGCACUAACCCCAUUGUAGGAUCUUGGCAUGGAGUCGAGUUGUUUGGGAAUGCAGCUCAAAUGGGUGGUAUGCUCCAUCUAAAGCUAAAUAUCUGCGAGAGACCGAUAGCGAACAAGUACUGUGAAGGAAAGAUGAAAAGAACUUUGAAAAGAGAGUGAAAUAGUACGUGAAAUUGUUGAAAUGGAAGGAUAGGCCGCUAACCACGCAGAGUCGUGUUUAGGGGGAGGACAAAAGCUGAUAUACUGCAUCAUUCUUCGGAGUGGUGUCGUUGCGGUGCAUACUCCCACCUGGGCGCGAGGAUCUAAGACUCUGCUAAAUGGUGGUCUAUCACCCGUCUUGAAACACGGAC